UGGGCUUAUAUUUUCAGAAAGCUGUUGAAGAAAAGCAUCAGAAAAACCUUCCUACAAAACAAAAUGAGGCAAAACUUCAAGCCUGGAGAACCCCAUCAGUGAAUUCAUCUCAACAUUUGAGGAAGAGGUAUAACUCAUCAGAAAUGCUCGUGUCUGUGUGCCAAAUGAUAUUGAAAUGGAAGCAAACCACCCCUACGUGCAGUGCUGUGUGAUUAUUACAGUUCUACUACCAAAUGAAAGAAAUAAGAUGCAGUUCAUUCUCUGUAAUUCCCUUUACAUAAGGUUCAAAACCAGGAAAACUAAUCUGCACGGUUAGAAGCGAGGUUUCCUCUGAGGAAAAGAAGAGUCGUCAUUUGGAACCAGAGUAGUCAUGGAUCACAAGCAAUCGAGGCAUGUAAAAUUUGCCACCAAAGUAAUUGUACGUGGGGCUUCCCUGGUGGUCCAGUGGUUAAGAAUCCACCUUGCAAUGCAAGGGACACAGGUUUGAUCCCUGGUCUGGAGGAUCCCACAUGCCGCAGAGCAACUAAGCCAGUGCACCACAGCUAAUGAGCCAGUGCUCCCGAGCCUGCGAGCUGCAACUGCUGAGCCCAUGCACCGCAACUACUGAAGCCCUAGAGCCCAGGCUCUGCAAAAAGAGAAGUCACCACAAUGAGAAGUCUGUGAACCCCAACGAAGAGUAGCCCUUGCUCGCCAUGACUAGAGAAAGCCCACGUGCAGCAACGAAGACCCAGAGCAGCCAAAAAAAAAUAGAAUAAAUAAAUAAAUUUUUUUAAAAAAUAAUUAUACAUAAUACCUGCUGAGCUCUUUUUAUGACCUGGGCCCACUUUGCAAGCAAUAACUUAUUUUAUCCUCACGAUAACCUUUUUCUAAUUACACAGAUGAAAAUAUCAGAGGCACAGACUGGUGUAGCAAUUUGCCACAGUGUGGGAGUAAAGAGGCAAGAUGUGAACCCAGGCAGUCUGGCCACAGGGCUCAAACUCCUAACGUCUGUCCACACAGCUGUUCCAGGCUAAUUAGCAACUUUACAAACUGGUCUUGCACACAUCUCAGUAAUGUGACGGAAGGAAUACAAUUUUUUUUUUUAAAUGUUCUGGUAGAAUGUUUU
ensembl:lncRNA